CUUUUUAAGAUUUGGAAGGCAGAUGUGGCAAACCGGGCCAACAUUCAUUGUGGCUAUCACAUUGGGGAGCAAAUUGAUAUGCUGGGCCACCCUAUGAUUGGUGACUGCAACCGCUUUGAGCGAUACCACCAGAGGAUCAAGGACUUGGGGUUGCACAUUGGAAACCAAAUGCCAGAGCUAUCCCACCUGAAAGUGUCAAAAAUGAUGCGCCAGCCAGACCUCAUGGAGAGAAUGGGGGAUAGAGUCCUGACACAGGAAGAGAUCUUCCUUGGCCCAAAGGUUUGGAUAAUGGGAAAACAUGGGAAAACAUGUGAUCAACGUCAUUAACAACCCUCUCUCUGGGCAACCAGAGAGAUGCAUUAAACACCAAACUACCACACUGUCCCCACAAAAAUAUAAAUUUGAUGUAAAGACUCUCAGAGUUGGCUCAUUUGUGGAGAUAGCCCCCUUCAACCCAACCCAUGUGAAUGACAGUGACAG